rnacentral:rRNA from 1 species
AGUGAACGCUGGCGGUAGGCCUAACACAUGCAAGUCGAACGGCAGCACAGUAAGAGCUUGCUCUUACGGGUGGCGAGUGGCGGACGGGUGAGGAAUACAUCGGAAUCUACUUUUUCGUGGGGGAGAACGUAGGGAAACUUACGCUAAUACCGCGUACGACCUACGGGUGAAAGCAGGGGAUCUUCGGACCUUGCGCGAUUGAAUGAGCCGAUGUCGGAUUAGCUAGUUGGCGGGGUAAAGGCCCACCAAGGCGACGAUCCGUAGCUGGUCUGAGAGGAUGAUCAGCCACACUGGAACUGAGACACGGUCCAGACUCCUACGGGAGGCAGCAGUGGGGAAUAUUGGACAAUGGGCGCAAGCCUGAUCCAGCCAUACCGCGUGGGUGAAGAAGGCCUUCGGGUUGUAAAGCCCUUUUGUUUGGAAAGAAAAGCAGCAGGUUAAUACCCCGCUGUUCUGACGGUACCCAAAGAAUAAGCACCGGCUAACUUCGUG